ensembl:lncRNA
GCAGUAUAAUGUAACAUGGAGGCAGUAUAAUGUAAUGUGGAGGCAGUAUAAUGUAAUGUGGAGGCAGAAUAAUAUAAUGUGGAGGCAGUAUAAUGUAAUGUGGAGGCAGUAUAAUGUAACGUGGAGGCAGUAUAAUGUAAUGUAGAGGCAGUAUAAUGUAAUGUGGAGGCAGUAUAAUGUAAUGUAGAGGCAGUAUAAUGUAAUGUGGAGGUAGUAUAAUGUCAUGUAGAGGCAGUAUAAUGUAAUGUGGAGGCAGUAUAAUGUAACGUGGAGGCAGUAUAAUGUAAUGUGGAGGCAGUAUAAUGUAAUGUGGAGGCAGUAUAAUGUAAUGUAGAGGCAGUAUAAUGUAAUGUGGAGUCAGUAUAAUGUAAUGUGGAGGCAGUAUAAUGUAAUGUGGAGGCAGUAUAAUGUGAUGUGGAGGCCGUAUAAUGUAAUGUGGAGGCAGUAUAAUUAUAAUGUAGCAUGGAGGCAGUAUAAUGUAAUGUGGAGGCAGUAUAAUGUAACGUAAUGUGGAGGCAGUAUAAUGUAAUGUGGAGGCAGUAUAAUGUAAUGUGGAGGCAGUAUAAUGUAACGUAAGCUGGAGGCAGUAUAAUGUAAUUUGGAGGCAGUAUGAUGUAACGUAUGCUGGAGGCAGUAUAAUGUAAUGUGGAGGCAGUUUAAUG